rnacentral:rRNA from 1 species
AUUCCGGUUGAUCCUGCCGGAGGACAUUGCUAUUGGGAUUCGAUUUAGCCAUGCUAGUCGAGCGAGUUCAGACUCGCGGCGAAUAGCUCAGUAACACGUGGCCAAACUCCCCUUCAGUCGAGCGAUACCCUCGGGAAACUGAGGUUAACAGCUGAUACAAAACGCCAGCUGGAAUGCGGCGUUUCAGAAAGACAUCGCUGAAGGAUGCGGCUGCGGCCGAUUAGGUAGACGGUGGGGUAACGGCCCACCGUGCCAGUAAUCGGUACGGGUGAUAUGAGAGUCAGUAGCCCGGUAGACGGAUCUGAGACAAGAUUCCGGGCCCUACGGGGCGCAGCAGGCGCGAUAACCUUUACACUGCACGGAUAGUGCGAU